AGAUGAACCAGUCAGAGACUAAAAUCACUGACCUGACCCCUGACUUGGACCACUCGGUGUCCAUAAACUCCUAUUACGGGUCCGAGGAGAGCAUUCCCAUCACUGGACAACUGACCAUCCAGUCCAGUAACACCAGUGGACACGUCAAGAAGCCAAAGUCAGACGCUAUCAACUAAAUGAGUCAGACAAACAUUUGACCUUCUGCUUUGGUAGUCAGUGGGGGGGCACACGUUGGCUCCUAUAAUUAAAACCAGUCUGUCAUCAAGGAAAGGUGUGUGUGCGUGUGUGUGAGUG